AGAAGAGCCAGAGAAAGCCAAGUCCGACACGGGGCCAAGGCUUCCCAAGGACAACCCGCCACCGCCGCGCUGCUGAGCGGGCAAAGUUCCGGGGGUCGGAAUGGCUGGAGCCGGGCGGGCUGGGAAGGGACCUCCAGGGCCACCCCGCAACAGCUGAAGCACAGACCCUCGCAGGAGCCACAGGCGCUGCCCGCGCCCCAGCGCAGAGCCCCAUCUCAGCCUGGAAGGUGCGGCGCACGCUCAGGCUGGGAGUUUGCAGAAAUCACCGCUGCCAGAGCGGGGACCCUCGCCAGACUCAGACCCCGCGCGCGUGCACGCGCCUGUGCUGGACGGAUGCUGGCAGACGGGGCGGCUGCAGGAUCCAGGCUCCAGCGGCCACCUGGACCUCCAUGAAAGCGCACAACGCGGCCGGGCCCGCGCGCCCCGGGGAUCCAGCGCGUGGGGCGGGGGCGGCGCCCGAACAGUCCGCCCCGCCCCCUCAAGCGUCCGUCCCCGCUGCUUCCGCGCCGGCUCCGAGUCCCUCCACUUAAGGCCAAAGUGUGCACAGCGGGCAGUGGCUGCCCCCAGAAAGGCGCCGGCGCCCCCAUCCCCGCCCUGGACCCCGGAACUGCGGGGUAGACCGCGGCUCCACGGAGCGCGCAACUUUACCUCGGGGCUGGCUGCCGGCUGCGCGCGCCUGCCCGCGGUUCCUCGGGGCGGAGCGCGGCGUCCGCUGGCCGGCUGCCCAGAGUCUGGCACCGCCCUGCUCAUCGGUUGGUGGGUCCUGCCCGCGGUGGCACGGCGCCCUCUCGCGCCCAGCGGGGUCCUGGGGAGACCCUGCAGCGAUCAGAGCCGCCCGGAGCAGCGGAAGCAUGAGACCGGGCUGGUGUGCCCACCACUUGGAGGACCAACCUGGGACACGGACAGGUGCAUAUACACGCGCGCAGAUCCAAGCUAAUGUGCUCACAACAUCGAACUCAUGAGACUUACACACGCAUAACCACUUGGACACAUACAUAUUCAUGCCAGCUCUCACACCCACACAUACAGGCUCACACUCGGUGCUCACGCUCACACACUCAUAACUGCAAUAUCACACACAGGUAUACACACACUCAGGCUUUCACACUUCCAUACGCAUAAACCCGGGCACACAGCCACGUGCACAUGCACACAUGCACACUCUCAUAACCCAACACAUGCACAUGAGCACUCAUGCUCAUGUGCUCACAUGGACAUACACCCAGGCACAUGCAUGCACUCAGGCACUCACAUACACACCCAGGUGCUCACACUUGCAUUUCACCCAGGAGCCUUUCCAGAGACACUAGCAGUGGACAGAGCCUGAGGUCCUGGGGAGGACAUGGACUUUGCAGGAUGUGCCUGCUGUCAAGCCCCAGGUGACCUGUGGAGGGAUCCUGGGCACACAGAAGUCUCCAGUGCAGUGUGUUACUCUUGCAUCCAGAAAUGGAGACUUUUUGCCCAGCACCAGGCCUGGGAAGGGAGCCUUAUUCCCUCUGGAAUCAUUCUGUCCGGAGGCCAGGUGUAGCUGUCGGGAGGCCAGGGCCACUGUCCCUGAGACACCACUGUCUCCAGGGGAUGUGACCAUUUCUGGGCAGCAGCUGCGCUGUUGGGUCAGCAGAUGUGCCUCACAGGGCUGUGUCCCUGGCCCCUGUGGUCAUUGUGACAUGAAAGUAAGCAGAGAACAAAGGAGCCCUGGGGAGGUCCGCGCCUGCACCCUUGGUGAGAGAGAGGGGGGUCCCCAUGCACUGAGGCCACAGGCUCCCUGGGCCUGUCCUGUUCUUCCUGGGAGGACCAUCCCAACCUGGCUAACAUGGCUGCCUAUUCAGACCCUCACCUGUGCCAAGCCUCCAGUGGCCUGUCACAGUCCACCCCACCCCCGCAACUCUUAUUCAUCCAGCUAGAGGGUUUGCUGUCCUUUCCUGGCCUUGAGGCACGUUUGUGAAUGACCUGGCUUGGGUAGACAGAUCUCCAGACCUGUCUCUAUUUGUGCAGCUCUUAGGAUUUUUUCCUCUAACCCACAAAUUUUGUUAUCUGUUUCUUUAAUAUCUACAUGCAGGGCUGAGGUUGUGGCUCAGUGGUAGAGGGUUUGCCCAGCAUGUAUGAGGCACUGAGUUCGAUCCUCGGC
rnacentral:lncRNA from 1 species